GAUGAACGCUGGCGGCGUGCCUAAUACAUGCAAGUCGAGCGAACGGACGAGAAGCUUGCUACUCUGAUGUUAGCGGCGGACGGGUGAGUAACACGUGGAUAACCUACCUAUAAGACUGGGAUAACUUCGGGAAACCGUAGCUAAUACCGGAUAAUAUUUUGAACCGCAUGGUUCAAAAGUGAAAGACGGUCUUGCUGUCACUUAUAGAUGGAUCCGCGCUGCAUUAGCUAGUUGGUAAGGUAACGGCCUACCAAGGCAACGAUGCAUAGCCGACCUGAGAGGGUGAUCGGCCACACUGGAACUGAGACACGGUCCAGACUCCUACGGGAGGCAGCAGUAGGGAAGCGUCCGCAAUGGGCGAAAGCCUGACGGAGCAACGCCGCGUGAGUGAUGAAGGUCUUCGGAUCGUAAAACUCUGUUAUUAGUGAAGAACAUAUGUGUAAGUAACUGUGCACUUCUUGACGGUACCUAAUCAGAAAGCCACGGCUAACUACGUG
rnacentral:rRNA from 1 species